GACGAACGCUGGCGGCGUGCUUAACACAUGCAAGUCGAACGGAAAGGCCUCUUUCGGGGGGUACUCGAGUGGCGAACGGGUGAGUAACACGUGAGUAACCUGCCCUUGACUUUGGGAUAACUUCAGGAAACUGGGGCUAAUACCGGAUAGGAGCUCCUGCUGCAUGGUGGGGGUUGGAAAGUUUCGGCGGUUGGGGAUGGACUCGCGGCUUAUCAGCUUGUUGGUGGGGUAGUGGCUUACCAAGGCUUUGCCGGGUAGCCGGCCUGAGAGGGUGACCGGCCACAUUGGGACUGAGAUACGGCCCAGACUCCUACGGGAGGCAGCAGUGGGGAAUAUUGCACAAUGGGUGGAAGCCUGAUGCAGCAACGCCGUGUGCGGGAUGACGGCCUUCGGGUUGUAAACCGCUUUCGCCUGUGACGAAGCGUGAGUGACGGUAAUGGGUAAAGAAGCACCGGCUAACUACGUG
rnacentral:rRNA from 1 species